ensembl:lncRNA
UUCAGAAGACACACAGCCUGACAUGCAGCUCAGUUCACACAGAAAGGCACAGCCCACGACCCGAAUCCACCUCCACAAGGCUGCUGACUGUUCACAACACUGCUCCUGCCCCAAAGGUGGUAACACAAACCUCCCAGCCCGGAGCACAGGCAGAACGUGCAGACGCAUCUUUUACUUCCGAACUCGACUACUUUUGUAAAGCUCCCAAAAAAACCCAUAACCCACAUUUCCACUCCGUCACGGAGAGAACAAAUCUCCCCACCGGGAACGGAGAACCGCUCGCUGGAAAUACGACANNNNNNNNNNNNNCCGGCACUCAGACCGCGGGGCAAACACCCUUCUUCACUUUUAAAUGAAGGUUUGGGAACCUCUGCCAAGCCCCUCAUCAAGCAAAAGAUAUUUCCAGCUGCACUAACGGUCAGUCUGAAACAGAAAAAAAGGCACAGAACUCAACUUCCUUCGCUCAGGCUUCUGACCAUGCACCGAGUCAAGGUAACUGAACCCCCUACUUUCUUUGUUAAAUUACGGUUUCUCAUACGCAAUCAGGGUCUUCCAGAUGAUGACAUGCCACUGUCAAAAUAGAAGAACUUAAAAGUUACUUUAAAUCUAAAACUCAGACCCAGCACUCCAUUUUUAGCUGCACCCUUUAAUUACUUGGUGCUGUCGACAUCUCACUUACACUUAAAUUUAGCAAAGUAAUUUUAGACCACUUGCCUUUAGAUCACUUCACUACCUUCACUGGAUCUGCAGUGCUGGAAAUGCAAAGCACCAAAUCCUCUCUCUUUUAAACACUCAAAUGCUUGAAAGUAAAAAAGGUAAAAGGUUAAGAGGGCAACACUUCCCCCUGGUCAUUUUGAAAAACUGGGGUGGAUGAUAGCCCAACCCCUGGAGACUUCUGUUGUUUUUACCCACAGAAUGACUGCCUUGAAUCUGUAAACGUGAGAAGAUGUAUAUUGACCAUGUACAACGUCCAGCCAAUGAACUGCUCCUGAGCCAAGCGAGGGCGCAAACAGGACCAAGGAGGAUGCCCUCAUGACGUCAACAAUACAGGGGCGUCGAGGAGACCUCGUGGCUAAGUGUCACCAGCUACUUCAGGGACCUUCAAAGUCCCCCCAGGGUCUUUAACAUCCACCGCUACCAAACUCGAACAGCCACUGCUCCCACCAGGUAUCAAAAUCUGCUGCAACCGUGUCCCAAACACUUGAAUCCCUCUUAUAUCCCAAAACACUUGAACCUUUGCAACUCCAAAGGUUUGAAGAGUUUCAAAUUCAAAGUGCAGGCGUAUGAUAAAAAAAAAAAAAGUUGUAAUUUGAAGGGUAAUAUAUCCUUGGAACGCCCACGUGUCCUUACCCAUUGGGGAAAGAAAAUGGAAUUCUCCUUCUCGCCUGGAAGAGCUUGGCCCCGAGAUGCAAAGGGUGACCCCAGCCAGGAGGUGGAAAGAGACCUACGUUUAGAGAGACCAGCCCCCAGCUGAAACACAGACCUGCCUCUCAGCACCACAAGGCCAGGACUCUGCUCAUAAUGACUUCCUUCUAAUCUGAGUUACAGGGAUCACAUCUNNNNNNNNNNNNNNNNNNNNNNNNNNNNNNNNGGGGGGGGGUGUCUCUCUGUCGACAGCUCCUGAACUGAGCUCUAUGAAAGAGCAGGCGGCACCAACAUUUAUUCAACAUGACACUGUCUCCCCACCCUCCUUAUCAUAUGAUUGACACUGACCUGCUCCAGUUUUUCACUGAGGAAUAGGAAAAGAUCUUUGGAACAUUAGUUCCUCUGUCUUGUGAAAAAACAAAUUCUCCUUUUAUUUUUGUUGUUGUUUAAAGAUAGGUAACAAGGAAAAACUAGACCUGAUAUUAAUGUUAGAAAAAAAGUUGAAAGUCUCCUAUUACCUACUUAUAAAAUGAUAUAUUCCAUAUAUGCACAAUGCAUAAAAUUGUAGAAUAGUGUGUAAGUUCAAAAUCAAGGUUGACAUCUUUCAAACAGGCUUUACUUCUUAUUUACAUAUCUACCACCCCACUGGGGUCUCAGCCUCUACCACAAAUAAAAGAGCUGAUCUUAUGAGAUUAGAAACGCAAUAAGAUUUUUAAUACCAAAACAAAACCUAAGAAGCGGCCGGGGGCACAGCUUAUAAAGACGUGUACACGCAGCCCCAUUACAUAAUCAAAUAGCAACCAAGAGUUUUCAAAAAUUUACCUAAAGAAGGCACUUCAGACUAAAUAACCAAGAACUCAUCAUGAGAGAAUAGAUACAUGGAAAACAACGUAUCACAAUACUACCCCACAUUUUUAACAGGAAAAGAAAGCAACUAUACAGUGAUAGAAGAGAAACCAAAACUUUAAGUGUAGCUGGAACUAUACAUCCUUAAACAAAUAAUUCAAAGAGACAUAAUACCCGUUUGCUAGUUUAGUGUACUAUCCAAGUUAUUGAUUCAAAUGGAAGCUUGGGUUACUAGACCAGGAGAGGAUCUGGGAUGUGUCUAGCACUCACAAAGCCUUUCUUCAGAAUUAGAAGACUUUGCAGUAGUAGCCACAGGCUUGCACAGCUCAUCCUGUUUCCCCUAGAAUUACCAUUUCAAUGGCAUGGUUAGCUCACUCAUAAUUUGACACACGAUGAAUUAAUUCAUCUGGAUAGGGUUUUCAUGUAACUUCUAUUGCCCACUCUUCCCCCUGAGAGAGCCAGUGCGAGGUGCCACCAGCACAGCAAGGGUUAACCCCAGGACUGUGACAGUCCUCCCUGUGAUAAGGUGAGGGGUAGCUGAGGCCGGUCAAGGGCUCUAAGCUAUUUGCAGAGAACUGAAAAUGCUGGGAAAAAAUAAAUAAAUAACCUCUACGGCCCGUGUAUGUCACUAGGGCAAGACUAAAAUUGUUUCUUAAGUCACACUGAAAGUUUUCUGACCUACAGAAGCUCCAGAAACACGCAUGGUGGGAAAGCUGUGGCACUUAGGAAUCCGUUUCUUUGGAAGGAUAACGAAACUAUCAUCGUCCUAACGAAGAAUUGCAUUACGUUCACACCUGCAUUAAAACUGUUUAUCCAUUUUAUGAGGCAGUGUAGUCCGCUGUUAACAACAGCAUCUAAAUCCUUUAAACCGUUACAAAUAAUUCUAGGUGGUACCUUUUGUAAAAUAUCUAGACAAUAUGUAGCUGUGAUACAAGGACGUCGUAUUUCAGACAGAAACCAACAAGGCUUGCUGAGAGAUACACGUAUAAUUUUUAAACAUGCCAAGUGUCUCCAGUAAGCGGUAAACGGGAAGCACAUAAACGUGCAGGCCGAGGUGUCAGAAGGGGAAAAGACGGAGAUGCAGAGAAAAGAGAGGAAGCCGAGGUCCGGGAGAGCGCGGCGAGGGCGCCGUCGGAGGGCGAUUCCACCCACGGAAGGACUGAGCGGGCAGCGACAGCCAAGCCCACACCUGGUCUCGACUCUCAGCCGAGCGUGGGCUUUCAUUCAAGCCUUAUUUCCACUCCAGACAACAACAAAUCAU